rnacentral:rRNA from 1 species
GCCAGGCCCUACGGGGCGCAGCAGGCGCGAAAACUUUACAAUGCGGGAAACCGUGAUAAGGGGACACCGAGUGCCAGCAUCAUAUGCUGGCUGUCCAGAUGUGUAAAAUACAUCUGUUAGCAAGGGCCGGGCAAGACCGGUGCCAGCCGCCGCGGUAACACCGGCGGCCCGAGUGGUGAUCGUGAUUAUUGGGUCUAAAGGGUCCGUAGCCGGUUUGGUCAGUCCUCCGGGAAAUCUGAUAGCUCAACUAUUAGGCUUUCGGGGGAUACUGCCAGACUUGGAACCGGGAGAGGUAAGAGGUACUACAGGGGUAGGAGUGAAAUCUUGUAAUCCCUGUGGGACCACCUGUGGCGAAGGCGUCUUACCAGAACGGGUUCGACGGUGAGGGACGAAAGCUGGGGGCACGAACCGGAUUAGAUACCCGGGUAGUCCCAGCCGUAAACGAUGCUCGCUAGGUGUCAGACAUGGCGCGACCGUGUCUGGUGCCGCAGGGAAGCCGUGAAGCGAGCCACCUGGGAAGUACGGCCGCAAGGCUGAAACUUAAAGGAAUUGGCGGGGGAGCACAACAACGGGUGGAGCCUGCGGUUUAAUUGGAUUCAACGCCGGG